rnacentral:misc_RNA from 1 species
AAGUCGUAACAAGGUCUCCGUAGGUGAACCUGCGGAGGGAUCAUUACACAAUAACAAGGCGGGCUGGACACCCCCCGCUGGGCACUGCUUCACGGCGUGCGCGGCGGGGCCGGCCCUGCUGAAUUAUUCACCCGUGUCUUUUGCGUACUUCUUGUUUCCUGGGUGGGCUCGCCCGCCCUCAGGACCAACCACAAACCUUUUGCAAUAGCAAUCAGCGUCAGUAACAGCGUAAUUAAUUACAACUUUCAACAACGGAUCUCUUGGUUCUG